CUCCUGAGCCUAAAGAUGGACGCCCCUCCAGAGAGGAGGGGCGUAUCGGCUAUUCUUAUCCGUGUUUGUAUUUGUGUUUGUAUUCGUGUUUGUAUUCGUGUUUGCAUUCGUGUUGGUGUUCUUGUUUGUAUUCUUGUUUGCAUUCGUGGUCAAAAAGCGAUAUCGCUCAUGUGGCCCCCUAAUGGGCCUCACAUCCUGUUUACCUAUAUUGAGUUCCAGGCGGCAUCUCCAACCAGCAUAAAAGUGCCAGCAGGGGGAGAUAAUUUUCAAUAAAAUAAAACUAAGAAUAAAUUGGCCCUAACAACAAUAGGAGAAUUUCUAAUUUUAAGAAUAGAGGAAGUCCGCUACUCAGGUCGUUGGCUGCGUCUGUGGGGUUAUCGUAGAUGUGGUUAUUCCCACUGUUGAGCCAGAACGCGUUCAUUGAACGAUAGUUCAUGAACUCGUUCAUAUUUUUGGCGAACGUGGACUGAACGUACUGUAUUACUGCCUGAUGAACGUUACUGUGAACCCAUUCAUUCCGGUCUCUGUGAACGGCACGCUCACUUGGUUUAACUUCGUUCAAUAUCGGGGUUAUUUGUUUAUCAACACGGUGGAUGCGUGCCUUGCGCGUGCAGAACGCCGUAUUGUUUGACCGGUUGCCAUGGUAAUCUCCUUGUGGUUAAUUUGCAGUUGCGGACUUGUCAGCUUACUGUUACAUUAAACUGUAAUCAGAAAACGUGGUUAUAUGCUAUAGACCCUAUAGUAUCUGUCGUAUAAAGGCUGGGACGAAUUUCAAAUUAUAAAUAUGUUCACUUUAUGUUGAAAGAAUAGACUGUCGCGAUUCCCAUUGAAACGAAUGGCGCAGUGAUUAUUCUUCAAACGAGAGCUGUUAAAUUGUGGAAAAUGAAUUAAACUGUAAUCAGACAACGCGGUAUGGGGUUUCUGUGGUAUACAGGCUGAGACGAAUUUCGAAUUAUAAAUAUGAACAAUUCAUAACAUUAGCUCUCUAGCUCUUAGCUCAGCAGACUAGAAUACCUUCUAGAAUCAUUGCUUGUUGGCCGGAAACAGAAAGGGGGGCUUUUUAUGUUUGGUUGUAGUCAUUUCGCUCGGUUCUCCGUCUCAACAGUAGUGCUGGAACCGAGCGAAAAGACUUCAACAAAAUGUGAACCCCCCCCCCCCUUUCCGUUUCCAACAGAAAUAUAUGGGAUUUACAAAAUACCAGAAGAAACCAAUAGCUCACAGCAACAUAUUGAAAAAAAGAACUAUGAACUCGUUCAUUUUUUGGAACUGUGAACUUA